rnacentral:rRNA from 1 species
AUUGAACGCUGGCGGAAUGCUUUACACAUGCAAGUCGAGCGGCAGCGCGGGGCAACCUGGCGGCGAGCGGCGAACGGGUGAGUAAUGCAUCGGAACAUGUCCAUGUCGUGGGGGAUAGCCCGGCGAAAGCCGGAUUAAUACCGCAUACGCCCGAGAGGGGAAAGUGGGGGACCGCAAGGCCUCACGCGAUUGGGUUGGCCGAUGUCCGAUUAGCUAGUUGGCGGGGUAAGAGCCCACCAAGGCGAUGAUCGGUAGCUGGUCUGAGAGGAU